rnacentral:rRNA from 1 species
UACAGAGGGGGCAAGCGUUGUUCGGAAUUACUGGGCGUAAAGGGCGCGUAGGCGGCCUGUUAAGUCGGACGUGAAAUCCCUCGGCUCAACCGGGGAACGGCAUCCGAGACGGCCAGGCUGGAGACCGGGAGAGGAGAGUGGAAUAGCCAGUGUAGAGGUGAAAUUCGUAGAUAUUGGCUGGAACACCGGUGGCGAAAGCGGCUCUCUGGCCCGGUUCUGACGCUGAGGCGCGAAAGCGUGGGGAGCAAACAGG